rnacentral:rRNA from 1 species
UACGUAGGGGGCAAGCGUUGUCCGGAUUCAUUGGGCGUAAAGAGUGUGUAGGCGGCCAGGUAGGUCGGUUGUGAAAACUGGAGGCUCAACCUUCAGAGGUCGACCGAAACCAUCUGGCUAGAGUCCGGGAGAGGAGAGUGGAAUUCCUGGUGUAGCGGUGAAAUGCGCAGAUAUCAGGAGGAACACCGGUGGCGAAGGCGGGACUCUGGGCCGAUACUGACGCUGAGGAGCGAAAGCGUGGGGAGCGAACAGG